ACAAUCCAUAUGUUUAGGGAACCUGAAAAGUCCCCUGGUCUGUCCCUUCUCUGGGGAGCAGGGCCUCAGCAGCUCCAGUUCCCUGGACACGCCCUUCUCCCCCGCCCCUACCACCUCCGCUGUGCCCCCGUGUCCUGCCCCCCAGGGGGCCUGUGUCUGUGCCUGUGUCUGUGAUGGGGAGCCACCUUGCACCCCUGUUGUCUGCUUGUCUGUUUGUGUCUGUUAUCCUGGGCAGGAUGGUCAUUCUCAGGGGCCCCAAGGGCCUGAGGCAGAAACAGACAGGGUCCAAUCUUGGGGCCGCAGACCUCCCCGACCCUGUGUGUAGAUUCCACCUAGACACAGGGAUGGACCCCAAGUGUUCAGAGAGGUCUCCCUCUUGACAAGGGCCCACAGACCUCAGAGGUGGUACCAAGGCACAGAGAAUGAGAGAUGGGCAGUGGAGACUAAGGUGCAGGGGGCUUCAGAUGCACAGGGGAACCUAACCACACAUGCAGGACAUCCCAGGCAGGCCUGAGGAGCGCCAGACCCUCAGAGGGUGUCUCUCAAGUCUUCACAGCCCCUCUGCACCCCCAGAGUGGGCUCAGGGCUUUUCCCAGAGGAGAGUGCCUUCCAGGCUGUCUGGCUUUAGGCUGGCGCACAUCCUGGACUCCUCCAGCCUGCUUCUGAGCUGCAGGAUUAGCCGUCUUUCUGGAGGAGGAGACAGGGGAAGAAUUUCUGCUGGGGCAUACACUUCCAGGGGAUGACUCCUGGGUCCAGAGAAACACGAUGACCAUCGUUCUUGACACAGACCUCACUGUGGAGAGAGGCUAAUAUGUGACCAGAGCGGAUGUCAUGGGCACACCUGCCGGGCACAGAAUGUUUGUGGGGCACUCUAGUCGGGAAUGGAUGGUCCCAUGAAGUACAUGGGGUGAGAGGGACAUGAGGCCGCUGAUGGGAGGACACAGAGCAUACGUCACACCCAAAUGGGGCAGUGUGCAUGCCACACACUCAGGAGGCGGGGCAGGGAGGGAGUAACCCCACAAUCCACACGCGCACGCACGGCAUACAAGGGAGGCAUCCCCUAGCUGGGAGAAAGGAGCAGUCAGUGCCCAUGAGUGAAAACAGAACAAGAGGCCAAGGGAAGGCCUCCUUCUUGCUGUGUGUCUGGGAACUGACCAUCGAAGAGCAGAGAAGGGGCUUCUCUAGGCCCCCUGUGCUGGGCACAGGUACAUCCUGCGUUCCAGGGCCGGAAGGUGUCCUUAACUACGAAGCAGUCUCCUCCAAAUGCAAGGUCAAGAGACCCUUUCAGAUGUGAGAGAGGGCAAGAGCCAGAGAGAGACAAGGGGACAGAAUAACUCCAGCUCAGGUCCCUUUCAGAUGAGACAGCUGGUGAGCAAAACAGCCUCCCCACAGGCACCUGGCUAGAGUAAAAGGGGGGCAAAGCAGCAGCCCCAGGAGCCCCUGAGCCCAGCUGGCAGGGCUGCCCGCCACCACCAUGCCGCUGCUCCAUCUGGGUCCCUCACGCCGUUGACGUGGGGACCAGCACGGGGGCUGGGGUCAGACUGGCACUGAGGACAGGCCCCCCCCACACCACCUCUGCUCUCCUCCCACUUGUGUCCCCCAUCUUCACUGCAGAGAGUAAGAGGCGCUCCUGCUGGCCCUCGGGGCGGGGCUGGGGGUCCCAGGGAGGCCCGGGCGAGGACGGCCAUCCUACCCAUGUGGGGGAACCCCUUCCCCACCUCUGUGCUGUGUCCUUGUUGCUCUGCUUCCUUUAAAUGUGUCAGUGCCUGGGGGAGGGGAGGGGCACCCCUUCACGCCCCCUGAACCUGACCAAAAGCCAUGGCUGUUGCUCCCCCUUUGUAUGACGCAGAUGCUAAGAUGUACCAAACCAACCACGACACAAAGAAAAGAC
rnacentral:lncRNA from 1 species